rnacentral:rRNA from 1 species
GACGUAGGGCGCAAGCGUUGUCCGGAUUUACUGGGCGUAAAGGGCGCGUAGGCGGCACGGCAAGUCGGGAGUGAAAGCCCGGGGCUCAACCCCGGAACGUCUUUCGAAACUGCCGAGCUAGAGUGCGGAAGGGGCAACUGGAAUUCCCAGUGUAGCGGUGAAAUGCGUAGAUAUUGGGAAGAACACCUGAGGCGAAGGCGGGUUGCUGGGCCGACACUGACGCUGAGGCGCGAAAGCCAGGGGAGCGAACGGG